UCAAUUGGCAUCGGCAUUAUUGCUAGUGCAAGAGGACGUGGGUUCAAGUGUGCUGAAGCGCAUUAUCUUCCUAUUUAUGGGUUGGGAUAGGCUAUGAGUAGUUCUAGACAUUAUAUCAAAAAGAGCAGAUAUGAUAAUUGUACAAGCCCAAAUAUGCCCGGGCCCAAGCCAACACUCAGGCCCAAACCAACAAAUAAGACCCAAACCCUAAACCUGGCAACUAGUAGCCCAACACAGCAAAACUAAAAAUCAAAAGAAGAAAACCCUAGCCGCAGCAAGCCCUCGCCUCCAGCAAGCGUCCAGUCGCCGUAGGACUCGGAGAUCGGCCUCCCCACGCGCGCCGUUUGCUCCACGAACUCCUGCAAUCGCGGACUCAAAGAAUCCGGAAGAGAAAAACAAGCAAAGAAACAAUAUCAUCGAUUUAUUUUCUUUUCUUUCUUUUUUUUUUGGCCUAUAAAAGGCCACUUUUAAUAUGUAAAAAGAGGGAGAAGAGAAAAAUCAACAGGGAACAGAACCAAUAUCAGUUUUUCUUAAGGUGAUUUUUUGGUUUUCAUUGUAGCGUUCAUCGUUUUUCCACAUAUAUAUACAUAUAUUUUCUUUUACUUUUUUUCCUUUUAUUUCAUUUAAACUAAUAAAAAACAAAAAGAGGAAAACUUACCUUUCGAUGAAGUCACCGAGCCGUCGUCAUCUCCGUCGUGUUCGGAGCAGUGGUGAAGGGGCUAACGAUCGGCGGCGCAAGGAAGCUAGGGUCGAAACCCUAGCAGAGCAAAAGAGAAGGGUUUUUUUUUCUUCCUUUUCAUUUGGG
rnacentral:lncRNA from 1 species